GCCUUCUCUCAAUAAUAAAGUUCCCCUUUCAAAAAUCUCUCUUCUCUUUCAAGCUUUUUCUUCUUUAGUUGAAUCCUCCAAUCAUAGUUAACGAUCUUAGGCUACCAGAAGGUCUCCGAAUAAUACUCUUCUUCUGCUAUAUUCUUUACAACGUCUUCAUUAGUGCACAAACUCACCUCCGCACUAAGAUAUUCACUCUCAUAUUCUCUCUUAAUUCAUCAAACACGUUAAGAGGCAAAAUACACAAAGAAUCGCACAUUUCAUCUUCGCUUCCCUCUCAUUUCCACUACGGCGCUGGUCAUAUUCACAACCAUGCUUCACCUUAGACCACCCAUUUUCCACCAUAACUACAUGAUAGAACGUACGUGGUUGAAGAGGACUUUUUGCCGCUUUGAAUUAUAAAAGUUUUUUUAAAAAGAAAUUUCGGUGGGAAAGAAGUUCAAAAGGGGUAAUUUACCCUCUUAAGCAAAUGUAGAAGUCAAUUUUAUGC
rnacentral:lncRNA from 1 species